AGCGGUGGGCCCAAUGGAGGGAACCUCAUGAGGGAACAAAGAAGAAGAAGAAGAAGAAGAAGAAGAAGAAGGUUUCUUUUUUUCCUCUUAAGUCUCUCAAUCAAGUUUGGCUGCGGAAUGAUUCCCAGGAGGACUGAGUUCUUGAGAAGAAUUCCAGUUUCCAGUUGUUCGUUAUUUGGUUAUCCGAAGCAAAGGUUUUUUGCCCACAGAAGUUCUGAUGAAGAGCAAAAACUGUGAGCACUUCAUCCAUGCCGGUCCGUUGGGCGAUAAGGGUUUUAGGAAUUCGAAGGCAAUGGAGGAGAGAGGCAGAGCCACUAUAUUUUUCAGGCUGAGGUUAUUAGUAGACAUGUGAACAUGAUUUCUCCUUCAUAACCAAGUAUCCACUGGUUUAUCCUUAAUUCCAGCCCCGAGCUCCAAAUGGAAGGUAAAUUAUUGGAAAAAGUUACUUGAUUCUAGUGAGGUGUGGCGUUCACUAUUUUUGUAAAUUUUCAGAGUGGAUGCUAUGGCAUAAGAUAUGUGAAAAUGAUUUAAAGAGAUAGAAACAUAAAAAAUAAGUGUUUGAGAAAAUGUUUAUAAAGGAUAAUAAAAGAUCAAUUAGGACAGAGUAGUGCUCCAAGUCUUUCAAAGUUUGACAAUUGGUAGAAAAUAAAGAGAUAAUAACAAAAAAUAGUUUCCUAAGUAUGGUAGGACUUUAACUUGUUUAACAAUUGUUUCAAGAAGAAAGAAAUAUGAAAAGUUGACUAAAAAAUACAAGAAAAAUCUUUUUCAAAAUGACAUAUUGUAAAAAAAUGGAAUUUUAUCAGCAAUGAUAGGCUUUCAUUAAAUCAGCCAUAUCUUCCUCAUCUAACCUUCAUUUUUGUUAAUUCAAGAUGUUUUGGAGAUAACUUGAUGCUAGACAUAUUGAAUGUGGUUUCAUUGAAAAAAUAUACCUUAGCUAAUAUCGAUGAGGCUUCCUUUGUCUUAUAUCUACCUCUUUUGACUAUGGCUUGACAUAAAUUUUAAAUUUUUAAGUCGAUUGGACACUUGCAAGUCAAAUGUCACCUUAUAUCAUUUCAUAAGGUCACCUUAAAUUUCGAAGCAUGUUCAUCCCACUAGUUCCUCUCGGCACAAAUGUCAAAGUGUUGGCCUUCAUGCUUCUUCAAACAUGGAAUUCAAUAUAGGCAUUCAAACCCUUCUUGGCAUUGAUGUUGCAUAUAGUUUGGUCAUGUGGUUAGUAGGAGGUCAGUUGCUUGCAUCAAAGUCAACAUCCUACGGAAGAGAUCUUAUGAAUAGAACCUCAAACAAUUUUAUCAAUCAACUUUCUAUGUCCAAUAAUGUGAUGUACUGAGAGUAUAUAUAGGUUCCAAGGUCCCUUUAUCAAGGACUCAUGGGAUCCCCUGAAUUUUGACCAAAUGUUGAAAUACCAUACAAGCCUAUUGGCUCAUAUCUAGUCACUUCAGGCAUUCCAACAAUGGAUUUCAGAGUUACAGGCUUCUAACAGCUGAAUAUAGUUGUCUAAAGAUAUUGUUAUUAUAGGCUUCUAAAAAUUGAUACUGGUGUCGUAACAACAUUAUGACAUAUAAAAUCUGGCCACAGAAUCAUUCUAAAGGUUGGAUUCCAGCCAUCAGAAUUAGUAUCUUUGACAAAGUUGAACAACUUUCUUUUUUAGCCAUAACCGCCUUGUCCAAACUCUUAUUGCAACUAUGAACAAUAUGUUCUAAAUGUAACUCAAUGUUGGAAUAAAAUUGGUUUGAUAUUUAAACUCCAAAAUGUCCUAAUCCUAGUGAAGCUAUCAUUUGACUCUUGUAUGUUAUAAUCUUUUAAAGGAAACUAGAUAAUGACACAUUCUCUUAUGCACCCAAACUCCAAUAACUAUGUCUGUUCUUGGACUUCCAGGUCUUCUUGGGUCUAGGUUUCAUCAUAGAUAUUCUACUGUUUGCAUAUUUACUUAGAAGGCCAUGAAUUGAGGUCCUAUUAAGCACUCGUGUAUUCAAAAUUUUUUUGAUCAAAAAAAUAAUGCACUAUUAAUGGUGUUAAUGAUUCAUUUGUGUCACAAAAUUUUAUAUCUAAUGUUGAAUAUUCCUUUUUGCAGCUGGAAAUAACUUUAUAAUGUUGGCUAUAAGUUGUCCUACUUGGCUUAGGUCUCUAGUUCCUGCAUGUGAGAUAUCAAUAUCACUUGAAAGCAAGGUCCGCAAUAACGGAACCAGCAUCUAUGUUGGUAGGCUGGUGGUACAGUAUGGUAUGGUAUCAUGCUAUACUAUUCCGAUGCGUACUAACAAAAGAAAACUAGAGAGGGAGGGAAGGAGGGAGGGGGCUUAGAAGCCCUCCUCUCCUCCUCCACUUGUCCACAGGGCCAACUAGGCAAAGCCCAUGUUUCCUUCUCCCAGCAUCUCUCACUUUCCUCCCCUCUCUCUCUCUCCCUCCCUCUCUCUCACCUCCCUUCCUCUCUCUCGCUUUUGGCCGAGCCCUUGUUUUGUUUGACAUAUGCGCUCUGCCUGAUAGGGCUAGUAGACGAGUGGAGGAAAGGAGGGCUUUCGAGCCCCUGCUCCCUCCUUCUCCAAGCAUCUCUCUCCCCCUCCCUGUCCCUUUCUCUCUCCCCCUCCCUCCCUCUCUCUCUCUCUUCCUCUCUUUUCUUCUUCCUCUCUCCUUUUCUUGCUGGUUUCUCGAAUCGAGAGAGGGAACUGCACCAGUCUGCCCCGAAUGAGCAGUUCAAGGUGGUAUGGUAGUCCUUGCUUGAAAGAACUUCUUAAAAUCUAGAUGUAGGAUUGAUGGUUUUUUUUGUUGUUAUAUGAGAAACUCAACUACUUUUUAUCUUAAAAUCUCUUUGGCUUACGUCUCCAAUUCUUGCAUGUGAGAUAUUAAAAUCACUUGAAAGAUCUUCUCAAAAUCUAGAUAUAAGAUUGAUAUUUUUUCUUCCUUGUUAUAUAAGAAACUCCACUACUUUCCAUCUUUAAAUCUCUUUCUUGGUCUCAAAAAUAGUUUUCAGCUUGUACCUUAGAUGAAUCCAUAACUAGCACAAAAGACUUACUAUAUCAACUCAUACCUUAGCUAGCAAGUGCAGUAAGGUAGACUCAACAUCAAGUCUAUUGCAUGUUAGGAUGCAAUGCUUAGGUGGCAAUCUGUUUGACAAUUAUUUGCAUGUCAAAUCACUAAAUUCAACAAGUACUAAAUGUGGCCCAUUAUCGGUGAUUACCUAUACGACAUCUGCUCUUCCACAUGAUCUAUCAUCUCCUCAAUCAGUUUUGAUGAAAUAUGAAAAUUUAAUAUGGUCUUCCUUUUUUUUAUCAAUUUAUGACCAAUUUUUGGCCUCAAAAUAACAUAAAAUUACAAAAAUGAAGAUGGGAGUCGUAUUACCAGAUUUUAGCAAAAAUCCGGGUUGCAAUCCAUGAAAUUGACAAGAUCUAGCUAUUUUUUUUAAUUAUUUUACAAAAUAAAGAUUUGGAAGGUGUUGAGAGCUCACGAGAUGGGGGCUCUCUUUUCCCCCAAUAAUUUAACCUCUCUUAUGGUCGGUAUACGCUCGAAUCGAUAAGAACCAUUUGGUUCGCACCAAAACUGCGCCGAACCAUCCGGUUCAAUGCUGUUCGGGAGAUAAGGAGGGGAACCAUCCUAGUUCUCCCUCAGUUUGGUAUGGUAUGCUCUGAACCAGAUGGUCUGGGUGCUGAGUUACGCCCUGUUCGAUGCGACGUUCGCAGCAUCCAAAAAAGAAGAGCAAAGCAAACGUAGCAUGCCCAAAAGUGAACCAACCCCUUGGACUG